AUCCUCACCUCUGUUUUAAAACUUCCAUGACAUGGGUUCUUAUUCCCAGACCAUUCUGAGCGCCAUCUCACAUUCCCUCAUGCCCCUAAAUUUAAAUUUUAAGCCAUUACUUUCCAUAAAGCUCAAGAUGUAAAAAACCUAUUUUAACAUUCUUCAAUAUGUAAAAAUCACCACCAUCAAUAAUGGUUUUUUCAUUUACACACAUUGAAGUCUCAUAAAAAUCAGUAUUUUGUGUGUGUAUAUAUAUACAUAUGCAUGUAUGUACUUUUUUCCUCCAAGAUUUUACAUUUGCUUUCUGGAGACUUGUUAUAACAAGCAGUAUUAUCAGCGUUAUAAUUGCUUUUUAAAAUUUAGUGCUUCCUUGUGUGCCAGACUCUGUGCCCAGCACUCUACAAACAUUAUCUCAUUUAAUCCUAUCAAUCUCUGUAAGACAAAGCAAACAAAAACGUAAAGUGGGGAAAGGGAACCCUAUUCAACAAAUGGUGCUGGGAUAAUUGGCAAGCCAUAUGUAGAAGAAUGAAACUGGAUCCUCAUCUCUCACCUUAUACAAAAAUCAACUCAAAACUAAUAUAUUAAUACUUUGGACUAUUUUCAAAAGUAAAGUUGAAAUAAAUUGAUUUUACAGAUCAAUCUUUACUUAAGCUUGGUGAGAACC
rnacentral:lncRNA from 1 species